rnacentral:rRNA from 1 species
UGGGGAAUAUUGCACAAUGGGCGCAAGCCUGAUGCAGCCAUGCCGCGUGUGUGAAGAAGGCCUUCGGGUUGUAAAGCACUUUCAGCGAGGAGGAAGGCAUUAAGGUUAAUAACCUUAGUGAUUGACGUUACUCGCAGAAGAAGCACCGGCUAACUCCGUGCCAGCAGCCGCGGUAAUACGGAGGGUGCAAGCGUUAAUCGGAAUUACUGGGCGUAAAGCGCAUGCAGGCGGUUUGUUAAGUCAGAUGUGAAAUCCCCGAGCUUAACUUGGGAGCUGCAUUUGAAACUGGCAAGCUAGAGUCUUGUAGAGGGGGGUAGAAUUCCAGGUGUAGCGGUGAAAUGCGUAGAGAUCUGGAGGAAUACCGGUGGCGAAGGCGGCCCCCCUGGACAA